AAUAAAGCCGUAAACAAAAGUGCGGAAGGCGUCACCUACCGUGGUGAAGAGAGAGUCAAGGUGAAGUGUGGUGAGGGUGAAUGGUAGUGUGGUGAGGGUGAAUGGUGGUGUGGUGGAUGUGUAAAUGAAUGACAAAGAUUGUCGGGGCAGAAGCCUUUUAUACUCUUUUAGGGCCAACCAAUUGGGGAGUUGGAAAUUAAGGGGUGUGAAAUUGGAACCAGUGUUGCAUCAUUUAUUUCAAGACACAGUGUUUGUAAAUGAUAUUUUACAUUUAAUGAAUAAAAGUUUUUAUGGAUUAAAACACUCGAACUGUACUAAGCACACUCAACCAAACACAUUUGUCUAGUUUCCAAGUCAUUUGAAUGCUUAACUGGAAUAGAAAACCCAAAGACCCAUGACCUCGAGGUUGGGCUCUUUCAAAAGAGACCCUCCACGAGUUCCGGGGCCACUCGGUUCCCGAGAUAUGAAUUUUUAAAGUUUCAACAGGAAAAAAGACCAUAACUCUGGAACCCAUAAAGCUAUCCUAGCAGCGGUCUCGUUCGAACCGUCUAAUCGAGUUCUACACGCGGUUCAAAUUUCAGAACGGUCCGCUGCGUCUGAGAUAUUCGAUCAAAACGAUCCGGCGCUUUUCAAAAUGGCGGCCCCCAUAGAAAAGCGCUAUUCUCUGCCAACUUUUGCUCAUAACUCGGGAACGCAAAGCCCCAGAACGCUCAAACUUUGGUCAAAAACUCCCCUCUGCCCCACGACCUGAUCACAUCCGUCGCGGGCACCGGGGACGCCCCCUGGCGGAUCGUGGAUCCGCGGGGGUCCCGAACUUUUGCGGGCCAUAGCUCCCGAACCCGGCCGCCUAGGAACACCAAACUCGGGUCAGAGGAGCCUCUCCACGGGCCCCUUCCAACGCGCCCGGCCCAGAGACUCUAGCGCCCCGUGGGACGGAGCUACGGCCCUCCACAGAUUAGGGGGCCAUUCAGAACCGAUCCUCCCCGGGCCUCGGGACCAAGGCUGGCUGACAGCCCCCACCGGGACCCCUCAACACCCGAAAGCACGAGCCGCCACCACUUUCCCUUCCCGAGAUAUUAACACUUUUAUCCAAAACACCCUUAUAUUCAAAGGGCCCUAUCUCCCGAACCCAGUCGACUCUCGGCUCCAAACUCCGGCCGUACAGCCGGCCCAGAGGGACCCUACGUCAGGCACAGUCCCCACCUCCUGGGACCUUCCCUUUCCGAGAUACGGCCACUUCCUGUCCAGAUUUGACCGGCUCUAGCUCCCGAACCCGGGGGCCCCCGACCUUGGGGUUGGUCUUGUUCGACGGGGCACAUCGAGCCCUUUCCAGCAACACCCUCCCCGAGCCAAGGGGUCGUUGAGUUCCCGAGAUAUACGGCAAAAAUUCCAAACAUUUGACCGCCCGUAACUCCAGGACCCCGGGGCCCAGGACCUCGAGGUCGGACUCGUUCGAUAGAGGACCCCCGAGACCUUCCUUUGACCUUAUUUUCAGAAUUUUCCUCCACAGUGUUCCCGGGUGAUAUGAGCUGAAAACUCAAAGAUAUGCCCCUUUCCCAAUAAAACCCUAUAACUGUACUAAGCACACUCAGUCGGAUGCAUUCCAUUACCUUUUAAAGGCGGGCGUACACGGUGCGAAUUCUGAUGGUCGGAAGAUCGUAUGUCCACGCACACAACACGAGUGAGUUUAUCUGAAAAUCGCGUGGACGAGGUGAUAUACGACACGAUUUUUAGACCUGCCGAUUUCCGAAGCGAGAGAGAGAGAGAGCAUGCGAGCGGAGCGCGAGCUCAAAUCAGAAUACCCUUUGUGACAUGCUGGAUAGAAAAUAGGCACAUGUGAAAUCAUUUUAUUUUUCUCAUCGACUAGUUUUUCAAGCCAUUAGUUGACUAAUCACAUUGAUUAGUUGAUUAUUCACAUUCAAUUUCUUAAAUACUGGAGAGAAUAAACUAUUUUAAUUAGAAUUUAUAUAGCACUCAAGUGCACGCAUAGCUUGCCAUAAAGAAUCGGCAAAAGAAACGAUUAUGAAUUUGACAAAAAAACAGCAAGUAGAUAUUUUAAUUGUUUUUUAAUAAUAUAAUGUUUUCUAAAUCAGUGACGGCUGCAAAGAUGAAGUUGACAUUGCUGACUCUCAUCUCCACAGUGGAUGUGCAGAAUGCACAUUUCAUUUGGAUUAGGCCUACAUAAUCAGAGAGUAGCCCAUUUAUUUUCGUUUUGAAUUACUUCGUUUAAAAGAACACAUUUCAAGCUUUCUAUAGAUAGCCUAUUUUUCUCGUGUCUGUGAGGCAAACAGCCUAUAGUUUCAGUUCAUUUAGCCUAGUUGCGCUCCAGAUCAAGUGCAAGUGAUAGCGCUCGCGCAUCCAUGAAUAUAUUUGCUUCUUAUUUAUUAAAUCCAGGCAAUUGGUUGAUGAAACAUUGAUUAAAAUUAAGAUACAAUUUUUACAAAACGAAAUUCACGUUAAAGAAAGGCUUUCUACAAAACAAAACUUAAUGAAGUGAUUAAAAUCAUGUCUGACCCACUCCAUGUUUCCAGAUGUAGGCUAUUGCGCAUAUAUGAUGUAUUGUUCACUUGUCUUAAUCAAAUAGAUGAAAUUAAAAAAUAUAGGCAUAUUUAAACAUUAAUAUAAAACUAAAUAUAUUUUCUUUAAUGGCUACCAACACGUACAGUACAGUGAAAUUUCAUGUCGUGGUCAAGAGCGGAUCAUGAGUCAUAUCAAGCAUAAUUUAUUUUUUAACCUGAUAACUGUAGCUCUUGGGCGAUCCGCUGUAAAAUAUCAUCUCAGACGACCCUGUCAUGUAUAGCCUACACUGCUUGACACAUCAUACAGCGCUCGCCCAAAAUUCAGCGAGUUUAUUCUCCUUUUCAAAUUCACCAUGGCGCUGUCAUCUUCAUCUCUAUCUUCUUCUUCUGUGGUUUUUCUUAGCUCCUGAUUGGUUAACUUCAAAUAGAUUGAAAAAUCGGCUCGUUCAACCGCACACAUGUCACGAAUUCAAACCGAUAGCUCCCGAACUUUUUUGACAUGUUUAAAAAUAAUCGUGUGGUCGGGAAGUGCUCGUAAGGCACUCUGCUCGGCUCGUAAUUCCUCACACAUGAUACGAGCCGCGACCAUGCGAGCAUACACGAUUUCCACACGAUUUAAAAAAAUAGCAUGCGAAUUCGUCAACCCAGUCUCAUAUGAAAACGUAUCCUGACUACGUUGGUCCAAAGUGCAAAACGUAGAGGGGUUACAAUAAUGGCCCUUAAAUUGUAUGACUGUUACAAUUUUUUUUGCCUAUUGUUUUGCGUCCAAGUCACGUGACUUUAGAGAGCCCGGCCGUGAGAACAAAAAACAUGGCGGACGUUUCUCUACUUUUUAGUGAAAAAAACAAUAUUUUGAGUUAGUUUCUGCAUAAAAAUAAGGUUUGAUUACAUUUUUAGCGAGAAAUAUAUAUUCUAUUUUCAUAAUAUUCACUCAGUGAAUGUACAUAAUCACUCGCUUGCGCGUUGUUGCAAAGAUUUUUCUGAUCUCGCCAGAAUAAUGUGAAACUGCUACGUUUUGUUUGCUAUGAACAAUAUUUUGAGUUAGUUUCUGCAUAAAAAUAAGGUUUGAUUACAUUUUUAGCGAGAAAUAUAUAUUCUAUUUUCAUAAUAUUAGCGUCAAAAACUGACGCGAAUUUUAUUGGUAUGAAAUCACGCUGAAGAAGUCUCCUUCAGAACACAUCGCGAUAUUUGGCAUCAGUUCGCGUGUGCUGGAUGUUGGUAAGUAGUCGUAAAUACGCUGUUCUAAUGUUUGAUAUAAUGUCUUUUCUGUUUGCAGAUAUUAAUCAGAUUAACGUUAGCUCCCUCAUGUUCAGUCACUGCAUUAUAUCUGUCACCUCCGCUGAGGUUUUGCUUUUCAUUGCUUUCUAUAUUAAAUACUAAACUAGGGUGAUUAAACACUGUCACGUGACGUGCAAUAUAUUGCACAAUAUAAUAUAACAUAUUCAUAUCAGGUUCAAAGUAGUACAAGUGUAGUUUCAAAAUGGUAUUUGUUGUAGAAGCACGGUAAAAAAACAACACUUACCAUGCUUUUUACCACAGUAUUGGUAGUUUUAAUGUGAUUUUUGUUGUAAAUACAGAGUAACCACAACACUUAUCAUGCUUUUAAUGCCUAAUAAUGUUAAAUCCAAAAACUGUAAGGUCAAUAAGAACUUCUUUCCUAUAUAUAUUUAGGCUAUAUAUAAACCUAUAUAUUAUAAAUAAUGAUAUUUUCUUUUCUCUUGUUUUAGCUGAAAAGACAAAAAGGGCCUUUCGGAAAUGGAUGAAGGAGACAGAAAGCUGCAAAGGCAAAUAAUUGCAAUGGAUUACUUGCAGAUUACUUAGUCCUUCUUUUUAGGAUCUCUACAACAUCAAACUCAGCAGCUCUUUUAAGAGCCGACCCUCACAAGAGCUACUAGUGAGUCGCUGCAAAUCUGCCAUGAUCAGCCCUUUCCAGAGAAGGAAGACCAAUCCUUAUAUUAAAACAAGCUCAUCGAAGUCCUUUGUUUAGGGUGAGGAAGGAACAUGACCAUCUCAUGCCCAAAGAAGACAGAAGUCCAUUGAUAGCAAGUGAAGUCACUAACAGAAGAUCCUAGAGGAAAAACGACUGAUGUGCAGCUACGGAGGAACACAAGAGGCAGAAACUAUGCAUGGCCAUGGCUUCUUCAUGAGUAUGGUUAUCACUUGGUUUUUGACCAAAUUAUGCUCUUGAAACAAGAAACAGAAGAGUAUGUUGUCCUGAAAGAAAUCAAGGCUCAAAAGAGAGCAUGCCUUUCUAAAAGAUCUUUUAAAACAGGUUGCUGUUAAUAUGGGUAAAACAGUUUUUGUUCAGUACUUAGCUUACAGUCUGUGCUGCAUUUUUAUUAUAAUAUAUAUAUUAUGUACUGCUGUUUUGUAAAGUUAAAUCAGGAACAGGCAACUCUAGCCCUUUUGCUGUCUCCUUUUUGAGGUGGAGAGUUUACCUCCAACCAUAAUUGAGCACACCUGAAAAUUUUAUCCAAAGUCUUCAGGUGUACUUAUAGACAGUUAUAGGCAGUUGGGUUUGAGGUUGGAGCUAAAUCUGCAGGACCGUGGACGCUGAGGGCCAGAGUAGCCCACCACUGUUUAAAUCAUGCAGAACAUAAGCUGACCUGGCUGUCCAUUAAACUACUUAACUUGAAUUGUCUGUGUUUUUUUGUUUUACUUUUAGACCAGGACUGAAGAACGCCUGACAAUGGGAUGUUAAGACUUCUUCCUCUGGUUGAGAAAAAGCUACAGCACAUCAGUGAUCACAUCUUCUGGUCAUCAGUUGUACUGUAGAGUACAACUGAACAAACUGUUUAGAAGAAGAACAUGAACAUGAUAGAGACAUGUACAGGGAAGAGCAAGAACCCAGUUCAGCUGUGAUAAUGAAUCUUUAUUUUAAACUCAAUAUCAAAUCUGUUUUCUGGAUCAUAGUUGACUGGAUGGGAUUCUGUGGCGCUCAUUUGUGCAAUAGGAGUAAAGUCUGUGAAUGGAUUAUUAUGACGUUAACGUAUUUUUGAAGACACGUUUUUAUUUAUCUUGAAUCUCAUUUGUCUUUAUGCAAAUUUCAACCUUAUGCUGUAUCCUCCAAUAAGGUGUUGUGUAAUAAAUUAUGGUGAACGUGGUGUUUGGUAGAGUAAAUACAAUUUAACUAAGCUGAGUUUAUUUCAUAAUUUAAAAAAAUGACAUAAUUACCAUGAUUGUUUUACUUAAUACAUAAAUAUAUAUUACAUAAAUAUUUUUGAUCUAAUUCAUGAUAUUUGGGACAACAAUGCACCAAAAGUUGCAUAUACUUUAAUGUUGUGACAAGGAUGGCAGUUUCCAGAUAAAUAAAGGGAAGGAAUGUGAAUAAAGAGAGGCUGCAGUGGGUUAUACUGAUACAAACACUUCAAGCAGAGCUGAAGAAGAUCGAUGUUGAUCAUUCUGGUACAUCUACUACUGCAUUCAAAAUGACAGCUGGACAUUACUGAUGUCAGGCAUGUGAGGAGCAAGAAGAGGGGGUGAUAAUGACAUUUUGGCACAGUUUCUUAUUUUACUGAAUAGUGCAUUAUCCUUGUGUAACAGUAAUAGUGAAGUGUAAAUAUAAAUAGUUUUUAGUUUACUGCCAACACUGGCAGCUGGAUAAUGGCAAGUUGUUGUGGGUUCAUCCAUUAUAUUUAUUGGUGUUCAUACAAAAAAAAAGCAAAGAAAUAAUCAACUACUAUUCAAUUAAUCAAUUAUUAUUAUUAUUGUAUUACAACAUUUUGUUAUAAUAUUUCCAUAUUUCAUCAGAUGGUCUCACAAUACCCAUCAAAAACCUAUACAAGCAUGAUGUUAGAAUGGAAAAUGAGGAAAUGAUAAAAUACUCCAAUAAUUAAAUGUGAUUCAACAAAGUUUGUUAUCCAUGAUGAGGAGUACACACCUGUGUAGAUUUUAAUGCCCUUCCACCCCCAAGGGGCCAGUACCGGCCCCUGGAAGAGCAAAAAAAUGAACAUUUCAAAUGGCUGUAACUCAAAGUCCGGUUAGCGUAUCAAAGAGAAAAUCAACAGGACAACUGCUUAUGCUAUGAUUACUAAAUAAUGUUGAGCACAGUUUUCA